rnacentral:lncRNA from 1 species
CCAGUUCUUUUUCCAUCCUGUACCAAAGCAUGGAGCAUCCGCUUGGCGUGACUCCUCAUCUUCUUCAAGUAACAGACAGAGAAGAAAAUGAAUGGGAAAGACCAUUAUCUGAGCUGGUAAUUCUUUUUGAUCCCUGCUUGCUGGUUGAGCACCAGGAAUCCAAGCUUUACCUACAUUUUGAAUGCCAAG